GGUCAUUACUGAACUGUCGACACGAGUUGUUGCUGGUCCUCGAAAGGGGGCAUGUGCACGCUCUGUUUACACAUCCACUCACACCUGUGCACCCUCUGUAGUUCUAUGGCCUUGGGGACUCUGUCCCCUUGCCGUGGUCCUACAUCUUUACACACACACUAUAAUGAAGUCUCAUGGAAUGUAUGUCGCGUUUAACGCAAUACAAUACAACUUUCAGCAACGGAUCUCUUGGCUCUCGCAUCGAUGAAGAACGCAGCGAAAUGCGAUAAGUAAUGUGAAUUGCAGAAUUCAGUGAAUCAUCGAAUCUUUGAACGCACCUUGCGCCCUUUGGCUAUUCUGAAGGGCAUGCCUGUUUGAGUAUCAUGAACACCUCAACUCUCAUGGUCCGCCAUGUGAGCUUGGACUUUGGGGGCCUUGCCGGCCUACUGUCGGCUCCCCUCAAACGAAUCAGCUUGCCAGUGUCUGGUGGCAUCACAGGUGUGAUAACUAUCUACGCUUGUGGUCUACUGCCGGGUAACCUCCAGUGAUGGAGGUUCGCUGGAGCUCACAAAUGUCUCUCCUCAGCGAGGACAGCUUCUUGAACGUUUGAUCUCAAAUCAGGUAGGACUACCCGCUGAACUUAA
rnacentral:rRNA from 1 species